GAUGAACGCUGGCGGCGUGCCUAAUACAUGCAAGUCGAGCGAACGGACGAGAAGCUUGCUUCUCUGAUGUUAGCGGCGGACGGGUGAGUAACACGUGGAUAACCUACCUAUAAGACUGGGAUAACUUCGGGAAACCGGAGCUAAUACCGGAUAAUAUUUUGAACCGCAUGGUUCAAAAGUGAAAGACGGUCUUGCUGUCACUUAUAGAUGGAUCCGCGCUGCAUUAGCUAGUUGGUAAGGUAACGGCUUACCAAGGCAACGAUGCAUAGCCGACCUGAGAGGGUGAUCGGCCACACGGGAACUGAGACCCGGCCCAGCCUCCUACGGGAGGCAGAAGUAGGAAAUCUUCCGCAAGGGGCGAAAGCCUGACGGAGCAACGCGGCGUGAGUGAUGAAGGUCUUCGGAUCGUAAAACUCUGUUUUUAGGGAAAAACAUAUGUGUAAGUAACUGUGCACAUCUUGACGGUACCUAAUCAGAAAGCCACGGCUAACUACGUG
rnacentral:rRNA from 1 species